rnacentral:rRNA from 1 species
AUGGAGGUCCGAAAAGUUUUAGAGACCUAUGAGGCUGCAACUGGCCAGCUUAUAAACCCUACCAAAUGUAGCAUUAUGUUUGGGGAAUCAUGUACAGUGGCGCAUCAGACUGAGGUGCGGUCAGUAUUGCAAGUGCAGCGGGACACAUACGAGGAAAAGUACCUGGGCUUCCCUGUUCUUGAGGGACGAAUGUCAAAGGAGCAAUGCCAUAGCCUUCUUGCCAGUUUGACAAAGAGAAUUGUGCAAUGGGGCGACACAUUGUCCCAAGCAGGGAAAGAGGUAAUGAUCAAGGCAGUCGGCCAAGCCAUUCCAACGUACAUGAUGGGAGUUUUUAAGCUAUCUAUGUCUGUGUGUGAUGACUUAAACCGGUUGGUUCGGAACUUUUGGUGGGGCUCCUCUCAAGGUCGGCGGAAAACACACCGGAAGUCUUGGCCAAGCAUAUUAGCUCCUAAGAUGAGAGGGGGCAUUGGAUUCCGUGACUUCAGAGUUUUCAAUCAAGCUCUGCUUGCAUGA